rnacentral:rRNA from 1 species
AUUGAACGCUGGCGGCAGGCCUAACACAUGCAAGUCGAGCGGUAACAGGACUAGCUUGCUAGUUGCUGACAAGCGGCGGACGGGUGCGUAACACGUAGGAAUCUACCCAGUAGCGGGGGAUAGCCCGGAGAAAUCCGGAUUAAUACCGCAUACGCCCUACGGGGGAAAGCAGGGGAUCUUCGGACCUUGCACUAUUGGAUGAGCCUGCGUCGGAUUAGCUUGUUGGUGAGGUAAAGGCUCACCAAGGCGACGAUCCGUAGCUGGUCUGAGAGGAUGAUCAGCCACACUGGGACUGAGACACGACCCAGACUCCUACGGGAGGCAGCAGUGGGGAAUAUUGCACAAUGGGCGAAGGCCUGAUGCAGCCAUGCCGCGUGUGUGAAGAAGGCUCUAGGGUUGUAAAGCACUUUCAGCGAGGAGGAAAGGUUGAUGAUUAAUACUCAUUAGCUGUGACGUUACUCGCAGAAGAAGCACCGGCUAACUCCGUGCCAGCAGCCGCGGUAAUACGGAGGGUGCAAGCGUUAAUCGGAAUUACUGGGCGUAAAGCGUGCGUAGGCGGCUUGCUAAGUU